rnacentral:lncRNA from 1 species
CCCCAAUAGAACAGUAGAUCAUCCUUACCAAGGUUAGAACGAGACUACGGUUGCAGUCUUCUCUAUACAUCGCUCACAUCGAGAAACAUUCUUUGUAGCCUAAAGGGGUAGUAGCAAUAGAUUUGGUUAGUCAGAUGCACCCUUUCUCCCAGUGGUAAAAAUAUAAAUACAAUACUCUAGAAAACCUCCCGGGUGAAAUGCUCACCGAUAUCCGUGCGCUUGCAGAUCAUUUCCUAAUUGCGUUACCAAAUAUCAACACUUGGGAGGAGCUUGCUUCUUCGCCC